rnacentral:lncRNA from 10 species
GAAAUUUCCAUAAUGACAUUGGUAGGAAAAAAGUCUGACAUAGUGUCUAUAAUUUUGAGAGAGGAGUGGCCAGUAGUGACAAUUUUUUGUUCCACUUAGGAAAUGAUCAGAGGCUCACCUGAACUAUUAUCCAUCCAAAAGUGGGAUUCAAAGAAGGAAGAGGGCCUAGAAAUGAGAAAGAAGCGAAAAAUAUGUUUGUUGAAAGGUCAACAUGGGUGUUUGGAAGAGGUAAUGCUAAUGAGGUAUUCGUAAAAUUGGAGCUGGAGUGCAAUGGCAGGCUGGAGUGCAAUGGCACCGUCUCAGCUCACUGCAACCUCCACCUCCCAGAUUCAAGCAAUUCUCCUGCCUCAGCCUCCCAAAUAGCUGGGAUUAUAGGCAUCCACCACCAUGCCUGGCAGGAUGGGCUGCAGGCAAAACUCCUCAGACACCGGCUGAAAGAGGGAAGAGGCUUUAUUUAGCUGGGAACCUUGGCAGACUUGCAUCUCAAGAACCAAGCUCCCUGAAGAAAAAAUUCCUGGCCUUUUUGAGAGGUGAAGCGAGCUGGACUUCCUGGGUUGAGUGGGGACUUGCAGAACUUUUCUGUCUAGCUAGAGGAUUGCAAACGCACCAGUCAGCACUCUGUGUCUAGCUAAAGGAUUGUAAACACACCAAUCAGCACUGUGUAAAAAUGCACCAGUCAGCGCUCUGUGUCUAGCUAAAGGACUGUAGACGCACCAAUCAGCACUCUGUAAAAAUGCACCAAUCAGCACUCUGUGUCUAGCUAAAGGAUUGUAAACGCACCAAUCAGCACUCUAUAAAAGCGCACCAAUCAGCGCACUGUGUCUAGCUAAAGGAUUGUAAACGCACCAAUCAGCAUUCUGUGUCUAGCUAAAGGAUUGUAAACGCACCAAUCAGCACUCUGUAAAAAUGCACCAAUCAGCACUUGGCAUCUAGCUAAAGGAUUGUAAGUGCACCAAUCAACACUCCGCAAAAACACACCAAUCAUCACUCUGUGUCUAACUAAGGGAUUAAAUGCACCAAUCAGAACUCUGUAAAAAUGCACCAGUCAGCACUCUGUAAAAUGGACCAAUCAGCACUCUGUAAAAUGGACCAAUCAGCAGGACAUGGGUGGGGACAAAUAAGGGAAUAAAAGCUGGCCACCCCCCAGCCAGCAGCGGCAACCUGCUCAGGUCCCUUUCCACUCUGUGGAAGCUUUGUUCUUUCGCUUUUCACAGUAAAUCUUGCUGCUGCUGACUCUUUGGGUCCACACCACCUUUAAAAGUUGUAACACUCGCUGUGAAGGUCCGCAGCUUCAUUCUCGAAGUCAGUGAGACCAAGAAUCCACCAGAGGGAACCAAGUCUGGACACACUUUUAAGGGCUUACAACUCUAUGGGGGUCUACGUGAAAGAUAUCCAGCAAGUGAUCUAUAGCUUUUACUUCCUCCUUCUCUUCAGGGACAGGAAACAGUAAGAGAAAUGGCGUAUCUCCUCAGCUUAAGAUAGUACUUGCCAGGCAGGGUGGCUCACACCUGUAAUCCCAGCACUUUGGGAGGCUGAGGUGGGUGGAUCAUGAGGACAGGAGUUCAAGACCAUCCCGACCAACAUGGUGAAAACCCCAUCUCUACUAAAAAUACAAACAUUAGGUGGGCGUGGUGGCACGCGCAUGUAAUCCCAGCUACUCAGGAGGCUGAGGCAGGAGAAUUGCUUGAACCUGGGAGGCGAAGGUUGUAGUGAGCCGAGAUCGCGGCAUUGCACUCCAGCCUGGGCAACAGAACAAGACUCCAUCCCCCCACCAAAAAAAAAGUGCUUAUCUUGUCCAUAACUUAGCAGGAGUGUUUCAAUAUUACAUCCACGCUGUUUCCAUAUUAAACAGAUUCUUUGUGGUUGAGAUAAAUAUAUUUCAUUAUGCUAACAACGUAUUUGUAUACUCCUGUUAAGAACUUACAUCAAGUAUGAAUAUGGAAUUUUUCCAAUGUCUUUGAUAGCUUUUUUAGACAUGAGUAGUUAUGUGCUGCAUGACGAUGUUUUGGUAACAAUGGACCAUGUAUACCGUGGUGGUCCCAUAAGAUUAUAAUGGAGCUGAAAAACUCCUAUCACCUAGUGCUAUCAUAGCCAUCAUAACACAAUGCAUUACUCACGUGUUUGUGAAGAUGUUGGUGUAAAGAAACCUACAGAACUGCCGGUCAUCUAAAAGUAUAGCACAUACAAUCAUGCACAGCACAUAAUGAAAGGCUUGAUAAUAAAGGGAUAUGUUAUUGGCUUAUGUAUUUACUAUCCUAUAUUUUUCAUUGUUAUUUUUGAGUGUACUCCUGCUUUGCGGUGUCUCACGCCUGUAAUUCUAUCACUUGGGGAGGCCAAAGCCGGCGGAUCACUUGAGGUCAGAAGUUUGAGCCUGACCUGGCCAACAUGGUGAAACUCCGUCUCUAUUUAAAAUACAAAAAUUAGCCAGGUAUAGUGGCGAAUGCCUGUAGUCCCAGCUACUUGGGAGGCUGUGGCAGGAGAAUCGCUUGAACCCAGGAGGUGGAGGUUGCAGUGAGCUGAGAUCACACCAUUGCACUCCAGCCUGGGCAACAGAGCAAGACUGCAUCACAAAAAAAAGGAAAGAAAGCUGUAGAAUAGCCUCAGGCAGGACCUUUAGGAGUUAUUCCAGAAGAAGGCAUGUUAUUACAGGAGAUGACAAGCUGUAGGAGUGGAAGGCAGUGAUACCGAUCAUCCUGGCCCUGUGUAGGCCUAGGCUAAUGUGUGUGUUUGUCUUAGUUUUUAGCAAAAAAUGUUUUAAAAGUAAAAACAUAAAAAAUAAAAAUUUUAAAAAACAUGAAAAAGCUUAUAAAUAUGUUUGCACAGCUAUGCAAUGUUUUCAUGUUUUAAGCUUUUAUUACAAAAAAGUUUAAAAAAUUAAACUCGAUAAAGUAAGUUACAGUAGCCAAAGGUUAAUUUAUUAUUGAAGAAAGAAAAAUUAUUGUUUAUACAUUUAGCAUAGCCUGCGUGUACAGUGUUUAUAAAGUCUAUACCCAUGCCCAGUAAUGUCCUGGGCCCUCACACUCACUCCCCACUCACUCGCUCACUCACCCAGAGCCACUUCCAGUCCUGCAAGCUCCAUCCAUGGUGAGUGCUCUGUGAAGGCGUUCGUUCUUUAUCUUUUGUACCAUAUUUUUACUGUACCUUUUCUAUGUUUAGCUAUAUUUAGAUAUACAAAUACUUAGCAUUGUAUUACAGUUGCUUACAGUAUUGAGCACAGUCACAUGUUGCACAGGUUUGUAGUCUAGGAGCAGUAGGCCAUACCUAUAGGCCAGACCAUAGAUCCUAGGUGUGUAGAAGGCUCUACCAUCUAGGUUUGCGUAGGUACAUGCUAUGAUGUUUGCACAAUGACAAAAUUGCCUGACACAUUUCUCAGAGCAUAUCUCCAUCAUUAAGUGAUA